UAUUAUUUUUUAUUUUCUUACAUAUAAACUACUUCUAGAUUAACCAAGGCUCCAUGACAACUGGGCUUAUUGUCCUAAAAACAGAUCUGAUAUUAUUGUUUGUGGACAGAGCGCUAACAUAAUUUAUGUUUUAUUCUACAUAAUGACAGAAAACGAAUAAAAAGCAGGACAACAAAAAAAUCUGUAUCUUCAUUUUUUCAUCUUUGUAAGUGUCAAACAGUUCUGUUUACAAAAAUUUGUGUUUGUGUGAUUUAAUAAAUAUUUUGUAAAUUUCAUUAACUUUCAUAAAUAAUGUUUAGUGUUUUGGUUUAGUUUAGGAAAUAAUGUUACUUAUUGAUUAAGAUUCAUAAAUAAAUGUAUGUUGAUGGUUCAGAAUAGCAUGGAGAUAGAAAAAAAAACAAGAGUGAUCAGGAGGAUAAUGACCAAAUAUUGAAGAGAGUCUAACAAGAUAAUGUGGAAAAAGUUGGAAAGAUCUUCAUAUUGAUCAAGCAUUACUUCCACUCUAGCUUGGUAAUUUGGGUCAUUAAAGAUGGCAAAAAUGACACUAUAAUUCUAAACUACCAAGGAUAUAUGGUAAUAUAUACCAAUACUUUGAUCAUGUUGUGCAAGUGGUAAGAACAAAACCAUAACUCAAUUAUAAACUAUAUUCUUAUGCAAUCAAACUUCAUAAUACAAUUUCAUUUUUGUUUUUUAUGUUAUUUUUAUUUAUUUAUGAUUUGUUUUGGCAGAGAUAAAAUAGAAAUAAUUUACAAAGAUUUCAAAGAUGACAGCAACCUCACAAUAGAAAUUCAAAGAUGUUUGACUUGUGCACAACAAAAUGAUGACUCGUAAGUACAAACAACAAAUUAAUCUCUAUAUUUUUUCAAUCAAAUUUAUACAUUCAAACACAUAAAAACCUUGAAAAUCAUAUAUACAAACACAAGACACAUUCUUGAAAAAUAUGGUAUAACUUUACAGUUUGCAAAAUAAUGUCAUAACCAGUUUCAGAAAGACACUGUCACUGCAAAAGGAACAUCUGCAGUUCAACAAGAUGUUCAAAUGCAGACUCCAACAUCAAGGAUCCUGAAAAGUAAGGAAAAGAGACUGCCAAAAAGAAGACGAGAACAAUGGUAAAAAAUAUUCGAAAGAGGGAUGAUUGUAAACCAAAUGUCGAUCCACAGUAUGAUUAUAUCCCAAUCCAAAGAAAACAAAAGAAGGCAAAUUACAUAUAUGUUGUGAGUGACAGUGAAAGCCUUUCAAUUGUUCCGUUAGAAAGCCAAUCGUUGGAACCAAUAAUUGAGAAAGGAAAGGAGGAGCCAAAGGUUGAAUCACCAUUGAAUCCAAUUGCUAAAGAAAUAGCAAACAAACUUGCAAAGAAGGCUACAAAGCAAAAGCUUAACAAACGGUAUCAUCUACCUACAUCAACAAGGGUGUACAAGUUACUUGAAGAUGAGACAAAAGAAAAAUUCAAGGAAUAUUACAUACAAGAGAAAAUAGAUUACUUCUGGAUGCAACCAAGGCAAGGAUCCAUGGCGACUGAGCUUGUUGUCCUAAAAACAGAUAUGACGUCAUUGUUUGUGGAUGGAGCAAUCGACGCCAACAUAAUUGAUGCUUCGUUAUACACAAUGGCAGAAAACAAAUCAAAAAUAGGGCAACAACAAAAUCUGUAUCUUCCUUCAUUCAUCUUUAAUGAUAUGGAGAUUGAAAAAAGCAAGAGUGAUCAAAAGCACAUUGACCAAACAUUGAAGACAGUUUUACAAGAUAAUGUGGAUAAAGUCGAAAAUGUCUUCAUACUAAUCAAGCAUUACUUCCACUUCGGCUUGGUAGUUUGGGACAUUAAAAAUGGAAAAAUGACACACUACAAUUUCAAACUACCGAGGGUACAUGGGCAUACAGACCAAUACUUUGAUCAUGCUGUAGAGACAAAAUAGAAGCAUUUUACAAAGAUUUCAAAGGAGACAACAACCUCACAAUAGAUAUUCAAAGAUGCUUAACUUGCGCACAACAAAAGGAUGACUCAUUGGAUUGUGGCAUAUUUGUCAUUCAAUUUGCAAACCAAGUGCAAGAGGGCAAACCAAUAGAAGCCACAUUUGAGAAGGAAGAAGUAUUUGCCAAAAGAGCUCAAAUUGUAACUACACUUGUGAAUCAUGAGAAUAGUUAUGCAAAUGGACUGAAGAAGAUACUUGAAGACAGAAGACGACAAAAUAAACAUCGUCAAUAUGAUGACAUUCCUGAUGAGGAUUUUACUACAUUAGCAUGAGUUUUACAAAUUACAUUUUAUAUCAAUGUACAUCUACAUAUAAAACCCUGAGCUCAGGUGGGCUUGUAUGCUGGUCCCUAUCUCAUACUUGCGUAUUUUUAUAAUUUUUUUGCUCUAGGGGGCCUAACACCAUUACUCAUCUAAAGAAACCAUGUAAAAAUGAAAAAAAAGUAAAGUUUAGUAUGAA